GUACCUCGCUUUCAUUUCCGAUUCCAACUCCCAAGUUAUUUUCUCAAUAGCAUGGUUCCUCCACAAAACCUUAACUUGUGGUAUAACCUUGGUGCGUAGGACAUGCGCUUUCCUAUCCAAGAUCUUAACAUGUACCUCUUCGUACGUUAAAUCUUCGGCUAUCUCGUCUGGUUCUAACGCAAUAAUAUGGUUCGGGUCUUUCACAUAUUUAUGAAGCAUAGAUAUGUGAAAAACAUUAUGAACACGGGACAUACUUGGAGGUAACGCGAGUCUAUAGGCCACAUUUCCUAUUCGGUCAAGAAUCUCAAAUGGACCAACAAAUCUUGGAUUGAGCUUUCUUCUUUUCCCAAAUCUUGUAACUCCCUUCCAUGGAGCAAUACGUAAC
rnacentral:lncRNA from 1 species